GCCUGAUGCAGCGACGCCGCCUGAGGGAUGACGGCCUUCGGGUUGUAAACCUCUUUCAGUAGGGAAGAAGCGAAAGUGACGGUACCUGCAGAAGAAGCGCCGGCUAACUACGUGCCAGCAGCCGCGGUAAUACGUAGGGCGCAAGCGUUAUCCGGAAUUAUUGGGCGUAAAGAGCUCGUAGGCGGUUUGUCGCGUCUGCCGUGAAAGUCCGGGGCUCAACUCCGGAUCUGCGGUGGGUACGGGCAGACUAGAGUGAUGUAGGGGAGACUGGAAUUCCUGGUGUAGCGGUGAAAUGCGCAGAUAUCAGGAGGAACACCGAUGGCGAAGGCAGGUCUCUGGGCAUUAACUGACGCUGAGGAGCGAAAGCAUGGGGAGCGAACAGGAUUAGAUACCCUGGUAGUCCAUGCCGUAAACGUUGGGCACUAGGUGUGGGGGACAUUCCACGUUUUCCGCGCCGUAGCUAACGCAUUAAGUGCCCCGCCUGGGGAGUACGGCCGCAAGGCUAAAACUCAAAGGAAUUGACGGGGGCCCGCACAAGCGGCGGAGCAUGCGGAUUAAUUCGAUGCAACGCGAAGAACCUUACCAAGGCUUGACAUGGACUGGAAAUACCUGGAAACAGGUGCCCCGCUUGCGGUCGGUUCACAGGUGGUGCAUGGUUGUCGUCAGCUCGUGUCGUGAGAUGUUGGGUUAAGUCCCGCAACGAGCGCAACCCUCGUUCUAUGUUGCCAGCGCGUGAUGGCGGGGACUCAUAGGAGACUGCCGGGGUCAACUCGGAGGAAGGUGGGGACGACGUCAAAUCAUCAUGCCCCUUAUGUCUUGGGCUUCACGCAUGCUACAAUGGCCGGUACAAAGGGUUGCGAUACUGUGAGGUGGAGCUAAUCCCAAAAAGCCGGUCUCAGUUCGGAUUGGGGUCUGCAACUCGACCCCAUGAAGUCGGAGUCGCUAGUAAUCGCAGAUCAGCAACGCUGCGGUGAAUACGUUCCCGGGCCUUGUACACACCGCCCGUCAAGUCACGAAAGU
rnacentral:rRNA from 1 species